UUUUAUUUCCUUAGCACCAGCAGUCAGUACAAUGACCACUUCACUUUUCUCCAGUCAUGACCGCUAAUGAUGAACCGCAUGCAAUGUAGUUACUGUCAUAAUCAAUACUGUCAUAAUCAAUACUGUCAUAAUCAAUACUGUCAUAUUCAAUACUGUCAUAAUCAAUAUUGUCAUAUUCAAUACUGUUAUAUUCAAUACUGUCAUACAAAAUCAAACCAAUGAGAACUCCACAUCUUUGUGUCAUCUUUCCUCCUCGCAGGAGAGGAAGACGUCUUCGUUAGUAUAGGAAGGAAACACAGAGUCCAAAAACAAGAAAAUAAUAAUAAAAUAGUCCAUAAAGGUGGGAAAGUAAACAAAUAAACAAACAAAGAAACAAAGACAUAGGCCUAUGGCUUUUUCUCCAGUCAGCGGGAGUGGAGCGGAGGAAUGUAUGUGUUUAGGAGUGUGUGUGUGUGUGUGUGUGUGUGUGUGUGUGUGUGUGUGUGUGUGUGUGUGUGUGUGUGUGUGUGUGUGUGUGUGUGUGUGUGUGUGUGUGUGUGUGUGUGUGUGUGUGUGUGUGUGUACUCAGUGAGGACAGGACACACUCUGAAACAGGCUCUCUAUGCGUCUCUACAAAAAUAAAUACUCACAGCAUGAUCGUUCAAAGGCUACCACACACAUGGCCAUGUGGAGUUUACUCACGUUCUGACCCAGGAGAAAAGUAUUUUUCAACCCAGGAGAAAGGUACUUAACCCAGGAGAAAUGUACUUUCCGACCCAGGAGAAAGGUACUUAACCCAGGAGAAAGGUUCUUAACCCAGGAGAAAAGUAUUUUUCAACCCAGGAGAAAGGUACUUAACCCAGGUGAAAGGUACUUAACCCAGGAGAAAAGUAUUUUUCAACCCAGGAGAAAGGUACUUAACCCAGGAGGAAUGUACUUAACCCAGGAGAAAGGUACUUAACCCAGGAGAAAGGUACUUAACCCAGGAGAAAGGUACUUAACCCAGGAGGAAUGUACUUAACCCAGGAGAAAGGUACUUAACCCAGGAGAAAUGUACUUUCUGACCCAGGAGAAAGGUACUUAACCCAGGAGAAAGGUACUUAACCCAGGAGGAAUGUACUUAACCCAGGAGAUGGGUACUUUCCGACCCAGGAGAAAGGUACUUGACCCAGGAGAUGGGUACUGAGCCCAUUGAUGCUGGCUGCUGCGUGGCACAAUACUGAGCCAGGUACAUGGACAUGGACAUGAACACAUGCUAAUGUAAGAUGAGGGUUUUAGCUGUGAAAUGCAACUUAAUUCAUGUUUUU